CACCACUGCCCCUUUCUCACUUACUGCCCUGCUAUCCUCCUCAGGACUGACUUUCCUGAAACUACACUGGUCUGUUCUCCCUGCUCUAAACUCCCCAAGACUCCCCUGCCUCUGCCUGGCACCCCUAAUGGUACCCAGGUGCACUCAGGCUUUGGGGUCCCACUCCAGACCACCACAAUAAAGCAAGCAUCACAAGAAAGCAAGUCAUGGUCUUUUUGCUCGUGGAGGGUCUUGCCUUCUAUUUGUAAAAACCACAACCCCUCUAAAGCACAAAAAAUGAGGUUUGCCUGUACUUAGCCUACAGCGCUGCUUUUCAUUUGCUGCAAUUGAAACUACCUGGGAUUUCAUACCUGGUCCUGCCGCAGACACUUCCAUCAGUAUGGGAGGUGACUCAGGCAUUGGAAUUUUAAAAGCUCCACAGGUGAUACAGAGUUUGGCAACCUCUCGCCUAUAGAUAGGAUUUGCUUGGCUUACCUGGUGUUGAAUAUAUUGCAAACAUUUAAAAUCAAGUGGUUUCAUAU